rnacentral:rRNA from 1 species
AGUGAACGCUGGCGGUAGGCCUAACACAUGCAAGUCGAACGGCAGCACAGUAAGAGCUUGCUCUUACGGGUGGCGAGUGGCGGACGGGUGAGGAAUACAUCGGAAUCUACUUUUUCGUGGGGGAUAACGUAGGGAAACUUACGCUAAUAACGCAUACGACCUACGGGUGAAAGCAGGGGAUCUUCGGACCUUGCGCGAUAGAAUGAGCCGAUGUCGGAUUAGCUAGUUGGCGGGGUAAAGGCCCACCAAGGCGACGAUCCGUAGCUGGUCUGAGAGGAUGAUCAGCCACACUGGAACUGAGACACGGUCCAGACUCCUACGGGAGGCAGCAGUGGGGAAUAUUGGACAAUGGGCGCAAGCCUGAUCCAGCCAUACCGCGUGGGUGAAGAAGGCCUUCGGGUUGUAAAGCCCUUUUGUUGGGAAAGAAAAGCAGCAGGUUAAUACCCCGCUGUUCUGACGGUACCCAAAGAAUAAGCACCGGCUAACUUCGUG